CUUCUACGGACAGAUUCUUUUAUUGUUGUUGUUUACUCAUUUUCCCCAGAAUAUUUCUUUUCUUUGGACUUUAUUUUAUAGUUAGGCUCUGCUCCAAGGAUGGCCAUGAAGGAGCACUGAGUCAAGCUUUAGGCUUUUUCACCUAGAUCUUCUCAGAGCUAAUUCUGGGGUUAGGAAAAUUCCCACUGCUUUCAAGAUGGUAUGAUUUAGGGAGAAGUGUGAUCACCACUAACCAAGGAAGCACCUUUGAUCCCUUUCAGCUGCAACUACUACUGUUUCUCUGGACUACUGACCUAUUGGGACUAAAAGAGAUUUUCUCCAUCUAGAACUGUGCUCUGAUAACAGAUUUAAUCACCAGAAGCAUAUACACCCCACUUUUCCUUAAGUGGGGGAGGUCUGUGAUCCAUGUGUGUGAUAGUGGGUGAUGAAUCAGAACCCACUGACUGCCACCUGGGCAAUCCUAAACAAAACUUUAGCUGUAAUUGGUUCGUGUAAAAUGGAAGGAAGUCACAGGAAGUGACAAAAAGGAAUGGUUUUUAAAAAUGCCAAGAACUUCCUGUGACAAAGUCUUUCACUUUCAACAUGACCCUGGAGGAGCUCCAGCUGAGGACCUUGGACUGCUUCUAUUUUCCCUUAGAACUACCAUGUGACUCUGUUGGAAAAUCACGCUAUCAACAAAAACCGGACACACACAAGGACACAGGAACAAGCAGUUGGAUCAAAAAGACAGUCACAAGAGAGGGAAACGAGUCCAACUCACAAGGUCCAUCCAAGGAGCUUAGACCAACCAUCUCCAGCUUCAACUGUCCCCAAGGAAAAGCAACUCUGUCACUCUCCUAGAAUUGUGGAACCUUCCUGCUUCUUCCUUUGCAGCAGCCCCUCCUGCUCAUUUCCUUAUAACUGGAGAGAGAAUUUCAUCAGUUGUUCAGAAAAUUUUGUCACUGUCUUUUUUUCUGAAGUUUUCAGCUAUUUCAUCUUUCUGUCCAAGUGCUGUAAUAAACACUAGUCAUCAUAAUCCUAUUUUGACUUC
rnacentral:lncRNA from 1 species